GUGUGGCCUAUUUGCGCGUCAGUGAAGGAUGUGUGGCCUACGUGCGCAUCAGUAAAGAUGUGUGGCCUAUGUGCGUGUCCGUGAAGGAGGUGUGGCCUUUGUGAGUGUCACUGGAGGAGGUGUGGCCUCUGUGCAUGCCAGUGAAGGAGGUGUGGCCUCUGUGUCUGUCAGGGAAGGAGGUGUGGCCUCUAUGUGUGUCAGUGGAGGAGGUGUGGCCUCUGUGCAUACCAGUGAAGGAGGUGUGGCCUCUGUACGUAUGAGUGAAGGAGGUGUGUCCUCUGUGAGUGUCAGUGAAGGAGGUGUGGCCUAUGUGCGCAUCAGCAAAGAACGCGUGGCCUAUGUGCGUGUCCGUGAAGGAGGUGUGGCCUCUGUGAGUGUCACUGGAGGAGGUGUGGCCUCUGUGCAUGUGAGUGAAGUAGGUGGGGCCCCUGUGUGUCAGUGAAGGAGGUGUGGCCUCUGUGCAUGUCAGUGAAGGAGGUGUGGCCUCUGUGUGUGUCAGUGAAGGAGGUGUGGCCUCUGUGUGUGUCAGUGCAGAAGGUGGGGCCUCUGUACAUGUCAGUGAAGGAGGUGUGGCCUCUGUGCGUGUCAGUGAAGGAGGUGUGGCCUCUGCAUUGCUACAGUGCAGUCAUAUCACAUUGAAUCAUCAUUGAGGUGCCAAAGUCUCUGCUUUAGGCGUAUCGCGGAACAUGAGAUGUGAAAGACGCACGUUUGCAUCCGAUAACGAUCACCGUCG
ensembl:lncRNA